rnacentral:rRNA from 1 species
CCUACGGGAGGCUGCAGUGGGGAAUAUUGCACAAUGGGGGAAACCCUGAUGCAGCGACGCCGCGUGAGUGAAGAAGUAUUUCGGUACGUAAAGCUCUAUCAGCAGGGAAGAAAAUGACGGUACCUGACUAAGAAGCCCCGGCUAACUACGUGCCAGCAGCCGCGGUAAUACGUAGGGGGCAAGCGUUAUCCGGAUUUACUGGGUGUAAAGGGAGCGUAGACGGCAGCGCAAGUCUGGAGUGAAAUCCCAUGGCUUAACCAUGGAGCUGCUUUGGAAACUGUGCAGCUAGAGUGCAGGAGAGGUAAGCGGAAUUCCUAGUGUAGCGGUGAAAUGCGUAGAUAUUAGGAGGAACACCAGUGGCGAAGGCGGCUUACUGGACUGUAACUGACGUUGAGGCUCGAAAGCGUGGGGAGCAAACAGGAUUAGAUACCCUAGUAGUC